GUGCAGCAGUCGAGAAAACUUCACACUGUGCGAAAGCACGAUGAGGGAAUCCCAAGUGCUUGCACGUAAGUGUAAGCUGUUUCUCUGUCUAAAACGCAGAGAGAGUAAGGGCUGGGUAAGACGGGUGCCAGCCGCCGCGGUAAUACCUGCAGCUCAAGUGGUGACCGUUAUUAUUGGGCCUAAAAACGUCCGUAGCCGGUUUAAUAAAUGCCUGGGUAAAUUGUGUAGCUUAACUAUACGAAUUCCGGGUAGACUGUUAAACUUGAGACCGGGAGAAGUUAGAGGUACUCCUGGGGUAGAGGUGAAAUUCUGUAAUCCUAGGGGGACCACCAGUGGCGAAGGCGUCUAACUAGAACGGGUCUGACGGCGAGGGACGAAGCCCUGGGGCGCAAACGGGAUUAGAUA
rnacentral:rRNA from 1 species